GUGAACCCUGAUCUCAGCCAGGUCACUGCUACAGCCGCCACUGAGAUAUCAUUGGCAACCACGGAGACCCAUGUGCCAAUAGGCUUGUACUGGUGAAAUCCCCAGGGAAGCAGAUAACGCUGUUGUGAGCCAGGUGAAGGUCUCUUCAGUGUCCCUGGACAGUUCUGCUGUGGUUAAGAAGCAGCGAGGUUGGUCUCCUGUGUGUGUGGGACAGAUGGAGAGAGAAGAGGUCCAAACUGAAGGGGCCAAAUCACCUACAUUCACUCUGUCCCUCAUCAGAGAGGAGCAGCUAAUGAACAGAGGGUUGAUGAACCUCGGGAACAGCUGCUGCAUGAACGCCAGUCUGCAGUGUCUGUUUCAUGCAGAGUCUUUCUGCAAACAGCUCUCCAGCCAGCUGAGCAACCAGAUUCAUGACCCAUCAGCUCAGCUGAUCAGGUGUUUCACUGACUAGUGGUGGAUGAGGGAGAGCGCUGACUGGGGGAUGAAGGCCUCUCUCCUCAUGGAGUUCAUCGAAGCAGCUGCUGCCACCAACCCUGAUUUCACUGCAGACACCCAGAAUGAUGCACAAUUCCUGUUUCAUGUCUUGGGCCAAAUGCAGCAGAUUGGCCCAAUGCUGAGCUGGGAAGGAGGCGUGGUUUAUGAUUGCCCAGUCCAGGCAAACUUUGGGUUCCAGCUCACAUCCAUCAUCACAUGUGGCGGUUGUGGAACUCAGAAAAGCAUUUAGGUGGACUUCAAUCUCCUUGCUCUGGCUCUGCCAGCUCAGGGCUCAGUGAAGGACUGCCUCAGACUCUUCUUCAGUGAUGAGGCAGAAGUUGAGUGCAGGUGUGAGUUGUGUGAGGGUAACUCUGCCAGCUGCAGGUGGGCGUUUCACACUCUGCCCAGCUGAAGAGGUUCCAGCUGUCUUCAGCUUUUACAUUGUUAAAGCAGCGUAAUAGGGUCCACAUAGACUCUGAGUUUCAGCUGACCCUACCAGUGCAGAGAAUUCCUGAAGACCACACCCACAAAGAGCCCAAACCCCCCGAUCCUCUGGGUCGACUCAUGCCUUCAGAUGGGUGAAUCUAUAUUCAGAUAUAGAUUAGUCAGCGUGUUGAACCAUAUUGGACGCAGUGUACACGCUGGACAUUAUGUGAGUGACUGCUCCAGUCUGCCGGACUCCUGGUGGCUGUCGUACGAUGAUGAGAGGGUCACCAUGAAGACGGAGGAUCAUGUUCUGAAGCAGAGGCAGCACAGUGCUUAUGUGUUGUUCUAUGAGAUGAAGUGAACUCUGUGUGAUGCAUAACCUGCUUUCUUCCCUCAGCUCCACAGCUCCUGCAGCCACACUCAGUCUCUGAGCCCUGGAGAGCACACACACUCUCUCAGCUCUAAUCUCUGAUUGACAUCUCCAGGCUCCGCCCACAGAUGUGUUCUGAUGACAGACCUUUAAUGAGGGUGGGGGGCUGAAGUAAGACCAGGAAGGAAUCCUGAGUGAAAACAUGUAAAUUAUUCAUAUUUUGCU